rnacentral:misc_RNA from 1 species
UGAGCCAUCUUGCCAGCCCAGGAGACAGC